GGAAGCGUGCCUGAACUAAAGGACCACUUUGAUAGAGUGGAUUAUGAGAGUUAAACUCUCUCCACUUCCC
rnacentral:tRNA from 1 species